rnacentral:rRNA from 1 species
GAUGAACGCUGGCGGCGUGCCUAAUACAUGCAAGUCGAACGCAUAGCGAAAGGUGCUUGCACCUUUCACGUGAGUGGCGAACGGGUGAGUAACACGUGGACAACCUGCCUCAAGGCUGGGGAUAACAUUUGGAAACAGAUGCUAAUACCGAAUAAAACUUAGUGUCGCAUGACACAAAGUUAAAAGGCGCUUCGGCGUCACCUAGAGAUGGAUCCGCGGUGCAUUAGUUAGUUGGUGGGGUAAAGGCCUACCAAGACAAUGAUGCAUAGCCGAGUUGAGAGACUGAUCGGCCACAUUGGGACUGAGACACGGCCCAAACUCCUACGGGAGGCUGCAGUAGGGAAUCUUCCACAAAGGGCGAAAGCCUGAUGGAGCAACGCCGCGUGUGUGAUGAAGGCGUUCGGGUCGUAAAGCACUGUUGUAUGGGAAGAACAGCUAGAAUAGGAAAUGAUUUUAGUUUGACGGUACCAGACCAGAAAGGGACGGCUAAAUACGUG